rnacentral:rRNA from 1 species
UACGGAGGGGGCUAGCGUUGUUCGGAAUUACUGGGCGUAAAGCGCGCGUAGGCGGACCUGCAAGUCGGGGGUGAAAGCCCCGAGGCUCAACCUCGGAACUGCCUUCGAUACUGCGGGUCUCGAGUCCGGGAGAGGUGAGUGGAAUUCCUAGUGUAGAGGUGAAAUUCGUAGAUAUUAGGAAGAACACCAGUGGCGAAGGCGGCUCACUGGCCCGUUACUGACGCUCCAGGC